rnacentral:lncRNA from 1 species
GUGCCUUUUCAUGAGUAAAAGCUUUAAUACCGCCCGCAAAGAGCAAUUUUCCCCGCAGUGGCUUAUGCCAUUUCCUAUUGUCCAGUGGGUGACCAAUUUCUCUGAUACAAGCCAUUAUUUAGAUCAGAGGGUUAUUUUAAGAAUUAAUUUUUAAUAAUAUUCAAUCCGGCCAAGAAAAAAAAAGCUCUAGGAAUGAUUUUUAAGAUGUUUAAGGUUUCCCACGUUUUGUGUGGUUUACGACUAAAGCCCGAGCAUUAAAUAAAGGAGCAACUGUCGAAAGUGCCGCCCGCGGAGUAAGCACUCUGAUCUACCUUCUCUCGGUCGCCCUCUGGUUCUAUUUGUGGCUCAGAAGGUGACUGAGAGGACGAUGAGUGCGAUGAGUGCAGGUCGCUACGAGCCAGUCCAGCCAGCCAGGCCAGCCGCGGGUUUCCCCGGAUUUAAGCCUCCCACCUGACCCUUCACUCCUCUGAGCUAUGACGCUGCCCUUUCCUCCUCCUCCCUCCAUAGCCGCUGCUCUUUGUGGCGCAGCAUCUCACUCAGCUCAGGGCCUGGCCGCGCCUGUGAUACCGGAUGCAUCUGUGGCCCUGCCCAUCCUUGGCAGUGUAAGAAAAGAGAGCAGCCUUGCAGUCAUUCGGACUUGAAUCCGUUAAAAUGAUGCAUAACUUAUAUCUUAUUUGAUGCUUUCCAACCAAAGCUUUCAAAUGAACGAAACCUGGGAAUAAACCAAGUUAAUUUCCCCCACUUUUCCUUCUGUUUUAGUUGGCGUGCCUCGCUAAGUAUAACUCAUAUUUGAUCUCACCACCUGAAGUUUUAUCUUGGUAAUUAAAACAAUUGGAAAGCAAUUUUAGAAAUAAGAUGUCAUAGGAAAACAAACUAUUCCCUCCCACUACAUAUGGCUAAGUACCCGUUAGACCGGUGACCUACAUCAGAGAAUGAAAAAAAUGUGCCAAAAAUGUAAAGAUGCUUGUGAAGAAGUGUUGCCCCAGACACUGGCCCUUUGACAACAGUGGUUUUUGAAGUUGUAUUACUGGUUUGCAAAUGCAGUGUUAAAUGAUUGCCUGCAGAUCUAACCAAAGGAAAACUUCAACCUGUCCUCAGCCUCCUGCUAACACUUGGUAGUAUUGUGUCCUUUUGGUCAAGUUUAUGUCUCCUCCUCCUCCUCCUCCUCCUCCUCCUCUUCCUCCUCCUCCUCCUCCUUCUGAGACAUUCUCUACUUCAGGUUAACCUUGAAUUCCCUAGUAGCUGACAAUGACCUUGAGUUUCUGAUCCUUAUGGCUUUACCAGUAAAGUGAUGAGAUUACAGGCCUUUGCCACCAACCACCCUGGUUUAUGCAGUGCUAGACAUGAACCAGGGUCUCAGGCACGCUAGGCAAGCACUGUCUCCACUGAGCCUCCUCCCCAGGCAUGCUUCUUCCAAUACGUUGUUAUUGGAGAACAACAAAGGGGCACACAGGCUUUCUGAACAAAAUCGUUACAAGCAGUGGUCUUAAGUAAAACAGCCCAUGCUGUCAGUGUCCAGACAGACAGAUAAAUGACAGACUUCCAAGGAUCAAAGAAGCACGUAGGAAUGAGGUCAUGGUAUCUCUAUCAGAGAGCGAUUUCUACAUGCCUUGACCCAACCUGGAACACCGCAAUUAGUACUCGGGACAAAGGUGAAGUUGAUCACAACACUGUGACAUGAUUCAACACAUUUAGGAAUGCUAAAACAUUUCCCCCUAGAAUACCAAGUGAGCCAUACAAAUAGUGGGGAAAGCAUCUCUCAAAGUCUCUCAGGCUUCCCCCUCCCACCUGCUAGGGAGAAGGUUGCCUGGGAGAUUUUCCUCCUGAUUCCUGGAAAUUUUGAACUAUUACCCUCGAAGAAGCCAUGGAUAAUUAGGACUCAGCAGCACCUUCCUCAGGAUUACAUAUGGGUGUCAAGUCCCGCCCUGGAAAAGGCCUCUCCUCAUCUUCAGCAGAAGAAGCCUGAGUUUGGGAAAGGAUAGAAGAAACUAGUUGCCUUUACAGAGAUUUGCUGUUUGUUUUGUUUUGUUUUUGUUUGGGGGGUUUUGUUGUUUGUUUGUUUUUUUACUCUUAUGAAGCUCAGUGGGUGGGGACUGAGAGGUGGAAAUCCAAUUGAAUAGCUCAUCUUAAUCCACAGUGUCUAAAAAAAAAGGGAUGUUAACAUCUCAUGAUGCAUGCUAGUCAGUUACAGCCCCUUUGUUCAGUGUUUUGGUGUUCCCACUGAGAUAGAGUAUUUGAGACAGCUGUUGAAAGAGUUUCCCAUUGAUGGGCCACAUCUGAAAUGCUAGCAUUUAUUUCUAGUGUAGCAAUAUCUGAAACUGGAACCAAAAUCACCCUGGCUAGAAAGGCUCUGUGAUAUAGACCAGAGUCCAGUUUAGUUCUCUGGGUAAAAAGACACUGCAAUUGCCAUUGAGGGUCUUGAUCGCAUGUGAAAGGAGGGGGCUUGACGAAGGGGAUGCUGGGUAGCCAGAGAUAGGGUUAGAAGGGUGACAAUUAGCCCUGAGAGGAAGUCCUUCUUUUCCUCAAAGACAUAGGGGACCUUGAUAAAGCCAAGCAUUGCCAAGGUAACCAGGCUUUGAUUCCUUGGAACCAUGCAGACCUCUGGAGAGUGGUCCCAGGUC